rnacentral:rRNA from 1 species
GACGAACGCUGGCGGCGUGCUUAACACAUGCAAGUCGAACGGAAAGGCCCUGCUUUUGUGGGGUGCUCGAGUGGCGAACGGGUGAGUAACACGUGAGUAACCUGCCCCUGACUUUGGGAUAACUUCAGGAAACUGGGGGUAAUACCGGGUAGGAGCUCCUGCUGCAUGGUGGGGGUUGGAAAGUUUCGGCGGUUGGGGAUGGACUCGCGGCUUAUCAGCUUGUUGGUGGGGUAGUGGCUUACCAAGGCUUUGACGGGUAGCCGGCCUGAGAGGGUGACCGGCCACAUUGGGACUGAGAUACGGCCCAGACUCCUACGGGAGGCAGCAGUGGGGAAUAUUGCACAAUGGGCGGAAGCCUGAUGCAGCAACGCCGCGUGCGGGAUGACGGCCUUCGGGUUGUAAACCGCUUUCGCCUGUGACGAAGCGUGAGUGACGGUAAUGGGUAAAGAAGCACCGGCUAACUACGUG